CCUACGGGAGGCAGCAGUGAGGAAUAUUGGGCAAUGGGCGGAAGCCUGAACAAGCCAAGUAGCGGGCGGGAUGAAGGCCCUACGGGGCGUAAACCGCAGUUGCACGGGGAUAACACACGCCACGUGUGGAGGUCUGCAGGUACCGUGCGAAUAAGGGCCGGCUAAUCCCGGGCCAGCAGCCGCGGUAAUACGGGAGGCCCGAGGGGUAUCCGGAUUCCUUGGGCGUAAAGGGAGCGUAGGCGGGCGUGUAAGUCAGCUGUAAAAUCGCGCGGCUCAACCGCGCCCCGCAGUUGAAACUGGACGCCUUGAGUUCACGACAGGCAGGCGGAAUUCGUGGUGUAGCGGUGACCUGCAUAGAU
rnacentral:rRNA from 1 species